GUCCCUGUACCGCAAUGAAUAGCUGGUUGGACUUUUAAUCCAAAGGUCGUGGGUUCGAAUCCCACCAAGGAUG
rnacentral:tRNA from 1 species